rnacentral:rRNA from 1 species
GGAGGUCACUGCUAUUGGGAUUCGACUAAGCCAUGCGAGUCGAGAGGGUUCGGCCCUCGGCUGACGGCUCAGUAACACGUGGAUAAUCUGCCCUUAGGUGGAGAAUAAUCUCGGGAAACUGAGGAUAAUACUCCAUAGAUCUAGAAUGCUGGAAUGCAUCUAGAUUGAAAGCUCCGGCGCCUAAGGAUGAGUCUGCGGACUAUCAGGUUGUAGUCAGGGUAAAGACCUGACUAGCCUACGACGGAUACGGGUUGUGAGAGCAAUAACCCGGAGACGAUAUCUGAGACACGAUAUCGGGCCCUACGGGGCGCAGCAGGCGCGAAAACUUCACACUGUGCGAAAGCGCGAUGAGGGAAUCCCAAGUGUUUGCUCGUAAGAGUAAACUGUUUCUUUGUUUAAAACGCAGAGAGAGUAAGGGCUGGGUAAGACGGGUGCCAGCCGCCGCGGUAAUACCUGCAGCUCAAGUGGUGAUCAUUAUUAUUGGGCCUAAAACGUCCGUAGCCGGUUUAGUAAAUGCCUGGGUAAAUCGUGUAGCUUAACUAUACGACUUCCGGGUAGACUGCUAAACUUGAGACCGGGAGAGGCUAGAGGUACUCCUGGGGUAGAGGUGAAAUUCUGUAAUCCUAGGGGGACCACCAGUGGCGAAGGCGUCUAGCUAGAACGGGUCUGACGGUGAGGGACGAAGCCCUGGGGCACAAACCGGAUUAGAUACCCGGGUAGUCCUAGCUGUAAACGAUGCUCGCUAGGUGUCAGACACGGUGCGACCGUGUUUGGUGCCGCAGGGAAGCCGUUAAGCGAGCCACCUGGGAAGUACGGUCGCAAGGCUGAAACUUAA